GCCAGCAGCCAUAUCCCCCUGCAGCUCCCAGCUGGCAGCCCCACUGGAGCUCAGCAGCUGUGAGCCUGGUCAGUACCUGGAUGGGAGACUCCUGGGAAAGCUCAGGUUGCUGCUGGAA
rnacentral:rRNA from 1 species